rnacentral:rRNA from 1 species
UGGGGAAUAUUGCACAAUGGGCGCAAGCCUGAUGCAGCCAUGUCGCGUGUAUGAAGAAGGCCUUCGGGUUGUAGAGUACUUUCAGCGGGGAGGAAGGGAGUAAAGUUAAUACCUUUGCUCAUUGACGUUACCCGCAGAAGAAGCACCGGCUAACUCCGUGCCAGCAGCCGCGGUAAUACGGAGGGUGCAAGCGUUAAUCGGAAUUACUGGGCGUAAAGCGCACGCAGGCGGUUUGUUAAGUCAGAUGUGAAAUCCCCGGGCUCAACCUGGGAACUGCAUCUGAUACUGGCAAGCUUGAGUCUCGUAGAGGGGGGUAGAAUUCCAGGUGUAGCGGUGAAAUGCGUAGAGAUCUGGAGGAAUACCGGUGGCGAAGGCGGCCCCCUGGACGAAGACUGACGCUCAGGUGCGAAAGCGUGGGGAGCAAACAGG